AGCUUUAAUUUGUCUGAAGGUGAAAAUGCCAGUUUGCAGAUCUAAACCUAGUAGUUCUUGUUCUUUUGUUGCCCUGCCUCCCAGACAACCUUUCCACCAAAGAGCGCUCACGAUAAUGAGAAUGAGGAACAAUGGCAAAACUACAGCUCCAGCCACGAUGAAUUUCUUCCUUUUGCUUCCACUGGAACUGGGUGGCUUGAAGUCAGAUUCCACAUCAAUUGCAGAU
rnacentral:misc_RNA from 1 species